GCUCAGAGUAUAAGCCAAUGGAGCUUGGAAGGCUUCCGCAGAUGGUGUCCAUCAUACGUGGUGUUCUUAAGACCUUGAGUGUGGCUCGUGAAGCGAAGCAUUGAGUUUGCCGACCAGCUGUCGUGCGGGGGGUUCAGCUUGGAAGGGUUGGGUUUCGGUCCAACAGUUUUCCUUCUGUCCCCUUUUGAAUGGACGUUCAGAGCUCUUGGUCUAAUGCGGUUAUGCCCACCACAGCACGUUGUGAGGUCACCCACAGGCUCAAACUGCCGAUCGCGCAUCCAGGACGAUGGCAACGAUGCGUUGUCGAUGAUGGCUCGAGAGAGACUUCACUCACACGCGUGUCUAGUCCUGGGUCGGGCGGCGACCGAGAUAAACCUGGUACGAUCCUCUUGCGACGAGCUGCUUUCUGGCCAGACCGACGCCCAGGCGCCUCCACUGUGCCGGAAGCGUCAACCCCAGGCGGUGUGAACCCAGCUGCAUUAUGCAAGGUCUCUCAGCCGGGCGUUGGUCUGAGUGGUGUUAAGUCCAGCACCAUCGGUCACGUCUCGAAACACGGGCCAAGGAGUAUAGCAUGUGUGCAAGUCUAAGGGUCUCACAAAACCCGAAGGCGAAGUGAAAGCAAGACUGUGGCGGGGGAGCUACGGCAAACCCGCCGGCCUAGUGGCGCGUGCGUCGCCUGGCUUUUAGCAGAGCUGAUCCUGUUUUCUCGGUUAAUUCUUGGUGCAGGCGCAAGCUCCGGGCUCACGUACAACACUGGUCACGCCUCGCG
rnacentral:rRNA from 1 species